rnacentral:misc_RNA from 1 species
GAAGAAGAACGCAGCGAAAUGCGAUAAGUAAUGUGAAUUGCAGAAUUCAGUGAAUCAUCGAAUCUUUGAACGCACAUUGCGCCCGCCAGUAUUCUGGCGGGCAUGCCUGUCUGAGCGUCAUUUCAACCCUCAUGCCCCUAGGGCGUGGUGUUGGGGAUCGGCCAAAGCCCGCGAGGGACGGCCGGCCCCUAAAUCUAGUGGCGGACCCGUCGUGGCCUCCUCUGCGAAGUAGUGAUAUUCCGCAUCGGAGAGCGAUGAGCCCCUGCCGUUAAACCCCCAACUUUCCAAGGUUGACCUCAGAUCAGGUAGGAAUACCCGCUGAACUUAAGCAUAUCAAUAAGCGGAGGA